GCAAUAUGCGUUCAAAGAUUUGAUGAUUCACGAGAUUCUGCAAUUCACAUUACGUAUCGCAUUUCGCUGCGUUCUUCAUCGUUGCGAGAGCCAAGAGAUCCGUUGUCAAAAGUUGU
rnacentral:rRNA from 1 species